AUUGAACGCUGGCGGCAGGCCUAACACAUGCAAGUAGAACGGAGUGGCGGACGGGUGAGUAAUGUCUGGGAAACUGCCUGAUGGAGGGGGAUAACUACUGGAAACGGGCGCUAAUACCGCAUACUAUCAGAUGAGCCUAGGUCGGAUUAGGUAGUUGGGGGGGUAAAUGCCAACAAAGGCGACGAUCCGUAACUGGUCUGAGAGGAUGAUCAGUAACACUGGAACUGAGACACGGUCCAGACUCCUACGGGAGGCAGCAGUGGGGAAGAUUGGACAAUGGGCGAAAGCCUGAUCCAGCCAUGCCGCGUGUGUGAAGAAGGUCUUCGGAUUGUAAAGCACUUUAAGUUGGGAGGCGUUACCAACAGAAUAAGCACCGGCUAACUUCGUGCCAGCAGCCGCGGUAAUAC
rnacentral:rRNA from 1 species